GGGAGGCACUGCUUCUUCCUCCAUAUGUCGUGAUCUCAACAGCUUGUCACCCAACAGAAAACAUCAUCGCCUCUGCUGCGCUAGAAAAUGACAAAACAAUUAAACUGUGGAAGAGUGACUGCUAAGUCCCUUUGCUCCUGCCCGCGAGAGACUGUCGGGAAGUUGACCCGGAUUGGCAAGAAACAGAGUGUCUUGGAGGUGGUCCCCCGGAGCUGCGCCUGGGGGUCAGGACAGGGCCUGAUUUGAGCCUCCUCUCUGAAGAUGAUUUGGCCGAGCGGAAGGUGUGGACCACCGGAAAGUUCUAAAAGUUGCUGGUGACAUUUCUUGCCAAUUCUAACACUGUCUAGGGAAGAGUUCCUAGUCUAUUGUGUUCAAACAGAGUCAACAAAAGUUUUUAAUUUUUUAUUACAGAAGGGUGAAGUUCAAUUUAACAUGCGUUGUGUUUUUUCAGUAAACGUUCUGUAUCCUUUUGAUAUUCCAUGACCCAGUGCACGCUGUGGCCUGUCACCGCCACCGUGGCCCCGCCAGCUGGCCUCCCCUUUGGCCCACGCCGGCCGCCCCCAUUCUCUGCUGCGUAGAUGCCCUGGCCCAGGGCCCUGACUCCUCCAUUCCCGCCAGUAGCUGUUCCUAGUGUAUUUUCGUCUUUCUGGAAAACAGCAUUGAGUGGUUGUUUUCCGUGUAAAGAGCCGUUUGUGUCUUGGGAGUUUGUGGCCCACAUGCCGAUAGCACGGUCAUCGCACAUGACUCUCCCGUUUGUCUCAGUGUCCCUGCAACAAGCAGCACCGCAGACUGUAAUAAAAGGUGGGGUUUUGUGAAUGGUUGUGGCAAGUGCGUCCUUGUGAAGCUCCUCUCCAUGUGGCUUUCUUGGAGAAAGGCUCCCCUGGGGCAAGAGGGCGGAAGGUUUCUUUGGACAGGAGGUGCUGAGGCUGGCUGCACCUGCUCUCUGAAGACGCCUUCCUCUCUAGGUUCAUUGUUCAGUGUUGCUGGGGGGCGGGGAACGGGGGUGGGGAGGUUCUUAGUUGCGAAGGAGCCAAGCUCCUGAUGGACUCGCGUUGGGAUGUGGGGGACACCUGUGGCAUGGUAAGGCUCCCUGAGUCCCUCACUCCAGGUCAGAUGCCAGUGGGACUCAUGCGCCCUAUGAGGGCUGCAGGGCCAGUGCUGCCCCUCGGACUCCUCGAGGGGUUGGGUGCUAAGCGCAAGCCUCGCCGUCCCUGCUGGAGCCCUCACCUGCCUGCCCCUCUGCCUGUGCUCCUGGCAGUGUGGCUUCCCGGUGCUCACCUGCACGGCAGUUUACAGCAGAGGCCGAGCGGGAGCCUCUGGGGAGUGAGGCUGAAAGCUGAACCUGCCCAUGGAGACAGUUGUGGUGAGGGUUGCCACACACAGUGAGGGCGGAGCAGGGUGGCUGAGGGCACAGGUGCCUGGGUCUGUCCCACGGGGCAGGGCUUUGGGGCUGUGAUGCUCUGGGAAGCCAGCUUGGGUCCUGGGUCCACAGAGGGCCCUGGCCCCGGAUCCCAGCCAGCUCUGCCUCUCUCAGGGCCUGGAGUCCUGGGGGAGCUCAGCCAGCUCUGCCUUUCUCAGGGCCUGGAGUCCUGGGUGAAUCCUGCAGGUUUUUGGUUGCACCGGCCCAGGGAGGAAGCGGGGGGUUUGUCAGGUGGGCUCUCCUGGGGGUCCUCGAGUGGCAGGGGUGAGGAGGGGAUUAUCUGAGGCAUCUGGAGAUGUAUGUCCUGUGGUUUCCCCUGCCCCUCUGUUUCCGAUGAGGUGUACGGAUGAGUGACCUGCACUAAGAAGUGAGUUGCCACAGUGAAAAUGGGUUGGUUUUUGUCUUCGACGCUCAGGGUCUGGGCGCCUCGCAUUUGCAGUCUGUUGUGACAGACACGGGGAGCUCCGCGUGCCAGCCUGUGGCUACCCUGCUGUGGGGGUCCUGGGGCCGGCGAGGCCCCUUCAGUCUUGUUCUGGGGGGACGGCCCACUCCGGGGAGGGGGUGUGCUGUGCUGAGCGCUGUAUCCCUGAAUAUAGUUUAUUUUUUCUACAUUUGAAUUCUGUUGUAGAUUUAUGUAAAAAUACAUUCUUUUUGAAAAUAAAAAUUUUCAUG
rnacentral:lncRNA from 1 species